AGGGAAGCGCUUCACCAGACUCGCAUGCGGCUGAUCAUCCGGGGUUCUCCCCGGUGCACUCGGUCGUCUACGGGCCAGCAUCGGUUUGGGUGGUGGGAUAAAGACCGUCGGAAUGUAGCUUCUCUCGGGGAGUGUUAUAGCCUUCGGUGCAAUGCCGCCUACCUGGACCGAGGACCGCGCUUCGGCUAGGAUGCUGGCGUAAUGGUUGUAAGCGACCCGUCUUGAAACACGGACCAAGGAGUCUAACAUCUAUGCGAGUAUUUGGGUGUCAAACCCAUAUGCGUAAUGAAAGUGAACGGAGGUAAGAGCCCUUAAGGGUGCAUUAUCGACCGAUCCUGAUGUCUUCGGAUGGAUUUGAGUAAGAGCAUAGCUGUUGGGACCCGAAAGAUGGUGAACUAUGCCUAAAUAGGGUGAAGCCAGAGGAAACACUGGUGGAGGCUCGCAGCGGUUCUGACGUGCAAAUCGAUCGUCAAA
rnacentral:rRNA from 1 species